UAUAGGGUUAGAUGUGAUCGUCAGCCAACUGUUCCAGGUGUGUUAUAGGUUUAGAUGUGAGUGGUCGUCGGCUAACUGUUCCAGGUGUGUUAUAGGGUUAAAUGUGAGUGGUCGUCAGCUAACUGUUCCAGGUGUGUUAUAGGGUUAGAUGUGAUCGUCGGCUAACUGUUCCAGGUGUGUUAUAGGGUUAGAUGUGAUCGUCGGCUAACUGUUCCAGGUGUGUUAUAGGUUUAGAUGUGAGUGGUCGUCAGCUAACUGUUCCAGGUGUGUUAUAGGGUUAGAUGUGAGUGGUCGUCAGCUAACUGUUCCAGGUGUGUUAUAGGGUUAGAUGUGAGUGGUCGUCAGCUAACUGUUUCAGGUGUGUUAUAGGGUUAGAUGUGAGUGAUCGUCGGCUAACUGUUCCAUGUGUGUUAUAAGGUUAAAUGUGAGUGGUCGUCGGCUAACUGUUCCAGGUGUGUUAUAGGGUUAGAUGUGAUCGUCAGCUAACUGUUCCAGGUGUGUUAUAGGGUUAGAUGUGAGUGGUCGUCGGCUAACUGUUCCAGGUGUGUUAUAGGUUUAGAUGUGAUCGUCGGCUAACUGUUUCAGGUGUGUUAUAGGGUUAAAUGUGAGUGGUCGUCAGCUAACUGUUCCAGGUGUGUUAUAGGUUUAGAUGUGAUUGUCAGCAUUGAAUAAAUUGUUUUUGUGCCAUAUCCAUUAUUGUUGUAAAUCAGUUUUUAUCAAGUCGUAUUUAAUAUUUUGUCAGUUUUUGCUUUAGAUGUACAUAACAUUGGCACAAGUGCUUAAGAAACUGUUAUCAAUUGACACGAUUAUUUUGUAAUACCCAUAUGAUUAUAAUAUAUUUUAUUAAGGAAAUUGCAUUGUUGUUUAAAGCUGUGUGACAUUAUAUAUCUGUUUUUGCUAAAUAUUUUAAAUAAUUAUAUUCCCUGUCUGUCUAAUCCCUAGUAAAUACUCCUGUCAUAAUCCCUCCGCCCUGGUAACCACUCCUCCCUCCAGUGGUAACCACCCCCAGCCUCCUCCCUCCUGUGGUAACCACCCCCAGGCUCCUCCCUCCAGUGGUAACCACCCCCAGCCUCCUCCCUCCUGUGGUAACCACCCCCAGCCUCCUCCCUCCUGUGGUAACCACCCCCCCAGCCUCGUCCUCCAGUAAACCACAGCUGUGUUGUUAUAGUACCUACAUUCCAGGGGCCCGAGUGGCAAUUAUCUUAAUUUACUUAAACAUAUACUUUCGUAAAAAAUACUUUUUUUUCAAGUUUUCAUUUGUUUGAAAAUAUGCUGAUCAAAUCAUUUUUAAUUGCUACAUGUAGUAACAUAAUUCAUUUUACAUGAUGUACAUCAAUCAUACUUGUUAUAUGUAUUAACAUUGUGCAUUUAUAACUACAGUACACUCUAAGUUAUAAUAUUUGUUAACUAUCAUCAUCAUCAUCAUUGUCAUUUUGAUCAUUAAAGCCUGUUAUCCAACAUGAACAUGUAUACCAUUCAUAUAGAAACAGUUUGUUGUGUGCAAUACUGAGUUAGGAAUCAAACAUUAAAACUAUAGUGAAAUGCAGUAAAUAUUUUCUGUAUUCUUUCAGCAGAUUUCAAAUUGACGAUACUUUGUUUUAAGAUUAAGACAAGUUUAUAUUGAAAAAUAUACUGUUCAUUGUAAUGAUUUGAUUAUUAAGAAAUGACUUACCGGAAAUUUUAAUUUUUUCUUUUAAAUUCAGCAUUUUUUAAACAUGUUAAUUAUGUGUUCCACUGGAAAUGGCGUUUAACGAGGAAACCAUUCAUAAAUGUGAUGAAAGAGUACUGCAUGCAUUAGGAACAGCAUAUCUAUUAUGUUGCCAGCAAGCACACCCUCAAGGGAAUUGUGUCUAGGUAUGACCAUCUUAUGUCUCAAGAUACAGCCAAGGCCAGGCAGUGUCACAAGAUACAGCCAAGGCCAAGCGGUGUCACAAGAUACAGCCAAGUGGUGUCUCAAGAUACAGCCAAGGCCAAGCGGUGUCUCAAGAUACAGCCAAGGCCAGGCAGUGUCACAAGAUUCCAUGAGGUGUCUUUGAGAUACAGUUAUGAGGCGUCCCUGAGAUAAAGUUAUGAGGUUAUGAGGCGUCUUUAAGAAACAGCUUUGAGGUUUCUUUGAGAUGCAGCCAUGAGGUGUCAUGUGGUACAGCCGUGAGGUGUCGUGUGGUACAGCCAUGAGGUGUCGUGAGGUACAGCCUUGAGGUGUCAUGAGGUACAGCCACGAGGUGUCAUGUGGUACAGCCAUGAGGUGUCAUGAGGUACAGCCUUGAGGUGUCAUGAGGUACAGCCACGAGGUGUCAUGUGGUACAGCCAUGAGGUGUCAUGAGGUACAGCCAUGAGGUGUCAUGAGGUACAGCCACGAGGUGUCAUGUGGUACAGCCAUGAAGUGUCGUGAGGUACAGCCUUGAGGUGUCAUGAGGUACAGCCACGAGGUGUCAUGUGGUACAGCCAUGAGGUGUUAUGUGGUACAGCCAUGAGUUGUCAUGAGAUACAGCCUUGAGAUGUUAUGUGGUACAGCCAUUGGGUGUCAUGAGGUACAGCCAUGAGGUGUCAUGUGGUACAGACAUGAGGCGCCAUGAGGUACAGCCGUGUGGUGUCAUGUGGUACAGCCACGAGGUGUCAUGAGGUACAGCCGUGUGGUGUCAUGUGGUACAGCCAUGAGGUGUUAUGAGGUACAGCCAUGAGGUGUCCUGUGGUAGUCGUGAGGUGUUAUGAGGUACAGCCUUGAGGUGUCCUGUGGUACAGCCUUGAGGUGUUAUGAGGUACAGCCAUGAGGUGUCAUGUGGUACAGCCAUGAUGUGUCAUGUGGUACAGCCAUGAGGUGUCAUGAGGUACAGCCAUGAGGUGUCAUGUGGUACAGACAUGAGGUGUCAUAAGGUGUCAUGUGGUACAGACAUGAGGUGUCAUGUGGUAUAGCCAUGCAGUGUUAUGAGGUACAGCCAAGUAACCACAUCACAUCCCUAAAGUACAAAACUGUGUCAUGACUACAAUCACAUUCUCCAGGUACAGCCCGGUGAUGUAAUUAGGUAAAGCCUUGUUGUGUCAAAAAGUACAACCAUGUUGAUUUAAGGAACAACCAUAUGGCAUGUGUCUCUACACACAAUUUCAUAUCCCCCUCCCUUUUUGUUAAUGAUACUAUGUUGCAAUAAAUUGAAUUACGUAAUUAA